rnacentral:rRNA from 1 species
UUCAGGGGUAAACCUGAGAAACCCGAAAAGUCGAAAGGGGAAAUUCAUUCGCGUCUCGACCGUCGGAGUGGAGCGUUCGAGCGACGGACGGCGUACGCGUCGUCCGCGCCUUUCGUUUUACGUUUCGGCGUCGAACGCGUGCACUUUUCCCCUAGUAGGACGUCGCGAUCCGUUGGGCGUCGGUCUAAGGUCCGCGGUGGAGCCCGGGCGUGCGUCUUCGGACGUUCGCGCUCGGACCCGCGGUAUCCCGGCCGACUCGCUCGACGGUAUACAGAUGGCGCGGGGCCGCUAUUUCAAUUAGCGUUCGGCCCGCGGCAAGCGCGUACGGUGUUGUCGACGAUCGGACCUGGUGCCGGUCUCGUCCCCGGACGACUGUUGGCCGCGGUGUUCUCGAACAGACCUCGUUACGAAACGCCGAUCUGCGACGCUAUAGCUUUGGGUACUUUCAGGACCCACGGACCAAGGAGUCUAGCAUGUGCGCGAGUCAUUGGGACAUAACUAAACCUAAAGGCGCAAUGAAAGUGAAGGUCCGUCUCGCGCGGACCGAGGGAGGAUGGGCGAUUCGUAUUCCGUACGGUCGCUCCGCACUCCCGGGGCGUCUCGUUCUCAUCGCGAGAAGAGGCGCACCAAGAGC